CACGUAGGGCGCAAGCGUUGUCCGGAAUUAUUGGGCGUAAAGAGCUCGUAGGCGGUCUGUUGCGUCCGCUGUGAAAACUCGGGGCUUAACCCCGAGCCUGCAGUGGAUACGGGCAGACUAGAGGUAGGUAGGGGAGAAUGGAAUUCCCGGUGUAGCGGUGAAAUGCGCAGAUAUCGGGAGGAACACCGGUGGCGAAGGCGGGUCUCUGGGCAGUAACUGACGCUGAGGCGCGACAGCGUGGGGAGCAAACAGG
rnacentral:rRNA from 1 species